UGAAAUCCCAUAUCCAAGAGGUGCAAUACGCUAUGUUUGUGAUGCAUGUAACAAAUUGGUUCCUUGGCCUAGGGAAUUGAUUUUGACUGAAGAGGGUUCUCUAAUUAAGAAGCUUCAUAGUUCAAACAACUCGAAGGGGAAAGAGAAA